CUUUUCUUGCAUUAAAUAUGAAGUAUGAUCUGCUCAAUGAUUUUUAAAUAGCCGCGGUAUUUUGACCGUGCAAAGGUAGCAUAAUCAUUAGUCUCUUAAUUGGAGGCUGGAAUGAAUGAUUGGACGAGGUAAUAACUAUCUUAUUAUUAUUUAGAUAGAAUUUAAUUAUUAAGUUAAAAAGCUUAAAUGUUUUUAUGGGACGAGAAGACCCUAUAGAGUUUUAUAAUAACUUAAAAAAUAAUUUGUAAAUAUUUUUAUUUAAGUUAUUAUUAAGUUGGGGUGAUUAAAAGGUAUUAAUAACUCUUUUUGUUAAUAAAUAUUAAUAUAUAGAUGGUUGAUCCAAUAAUAUUGAUUAUAAGAUAAAAUUACC
rnacentral:rRNA from 1 species